UUUGACACUGUACGGGGAAGGUUGAGAACCUUCGAGUAAGGUUCGAGUCGAGCGAUAGCGAGACAACGUUGCCGCAGGCAACGGCCCGAAGGGUGAGGCGCGAAGCGACGAAUAAUCCUUCCCCCUGUCACUA
rnacentral:sRNA from 1 species